rnacentral:lncRNA from 1 species
CCCAUUAUUGGCAUGCAGUUCGGUGAUGUUUGUACUUGUAGAGCAGUUCACCAGGGGGAUGGCGGCAUCUACGAAAAAGCCGUGGAUGGCUGCAACGCUUAGGGCCUCCAAAUGCAAAAACUGAAUUAUUUUGUUUUGAGGGCAUGCAGUGUAGAACACAUAUGUUUUUAGGUGUUCAUUUUGUUUUCAGUUUUUGUAGUCGAAUAUAUGCGUCUCUGUAGUACGAUGGAUGUACAGUUUGGUUGCAAAUUCAUGUGUGUUUUCUCCUCCAUGGCAGUUUCCAUGAACACGCUGUUGUCUGCCAUUCCAGGUUCACUGCCAUAGCAGUUUGGUGUGUGUGCCAAACAAGUCUUGCAAUUCCAUUACACUCUCCUCUGGUAGGAGCCUGCCCAGCCUCUGCUUCAUCCACUUGGUGAGCAAUUCCAACAACCCAAAACUUAUCUUAUAAGCUCAAACUCUGCUUUUGUAUAUGUAUUGUCGAGUUUGUGCGUUUAACUGAAUUUCAUCCUGUGCUCCAGUAGUUAAAACUGAAUUGCCACAAAGCCAAGGAGGAGAGUGGUGUGGGAUCCAUUCUUUCCGCUCUGGCGAGGCCUCCAACGAGCGCCUCGCCACCAGAACAAACUCUCUCAAUGGCGAGGUCGCUAGGCAAAUGUUCAGUAUUGUGUGCGUAGUUCUGCUUGUUUGAAGAGCCAACGGUUUGUGUACUAUAAAGCAGUUUGUACGUGUGGUUCAGUUUAAGUGAUGUGAGCAUCUAGUUCAUUAUUACUAUCUUGCGGUUUAGAUGCACUUUUUUUUUGUUUUAGGUUGUGUUCUGUGAUUGCAUGGUUGUGUUUAUAUGUUUACUUCUUUUUAGAUGUUGUUCACUUGGUAAAAAAGAAAGCAAAAACAUCUCAAAAGAAGCUCACUUCUUGUUAGAUGUAGCUCACUCUUCUUAUUAUUAGAUGUAGUACACACCAUUUAUGUAGCAGCUCAUUACCCCUUUGUAUGAAGCGCAAUUUGUUUCGUGUGUCUCAAAAUUCAGUUGACUACAUCGACACCUGAA